GUGUCAGCAGCCGCGGUAAGACGGAGGGGGCAAGCGUUGUUCGGAAUUAUUGGGCGUAAAGGGCUCGUAGGCGGAUCUGAAAGUCUGAUGUGAAAUCUCCACCGCUCACCGGGGAGGGGCCAUUGGAUACUGCAGAUCUGGAGUUCGGUAGAGGGUCGUGGAAUUUCGGGUGUAGCGGUGGAAUGCGUAGAUAUCCGAAAGAACACCGGUGGCGAAGGCGGCGACCUGGGCCUGAACUGACGCUGAGGAGCGAAAGCUAGGGGAGCAAACGGGAUUAGAAACCCUGGUAGUCC
rnacentral:rRNA from 1 species